rnacentral:rRNA from 1 species
GACGAACGCUGGCGGCGUGCCUAACACAUGCAAGUCGAACGCGAGUGUCUUUUUUCGCAAGAAAGUUGACACUUGAGUGGCGAACGGGUGAGUAACACGUGAGUAACUCACCUUCCGGUGGGGGAUAACUGUCCGAAAGGGCGGCUAAUACCCCGUAUGCUCCCUGACCGCCGGGUCAGUGAGGAAAGUGGGCUUCGUAAGAAGCUCAUGCCAGAAGAGAGGCUCGCGCCCCAUCAGCUAGUUGGCGAGGUAACGGCUCACCAAGGCAAUGACGGGUAGCUGGUCUGAGAGGAUGGUCAGCCACACUGGGACUGAGACACGGCCCAGACUCCUACGGGAGGCAGCAGUGAGGAAUUUUGGGCAAUGGGCGAAAGCCUGACCCAGCGACGCCGCGUGGAGGAUGAAGGCCUUCGGGUCGUAAACUCCUGUUCUGGGGAAGAAACGGGAUGCGUGAAUAAUUCAUCCCGCUGACGGUACCCCAGGAGAAAGCUCCGGCUAAUUACGUGCC